UACAGAGGUGGCAAGCGUUGUUCGGAAUUACUGGGCGUAAAGCGCACGUAGGCGGCUUUGCAAGUCGGAUGUGAAAUCCCUCGGCUCAACCAAGGAAGUGCAUCCGAAACUGCAGAGCUUGAGUACCAAAGAGGAUCGCGGAAUUCCCGGUGUAGAGGUGAAAUUCGUAGAUAUCGGGAGGAACACCAGUGGCGAAGGCGGCGAUCUGGGUGGAUACUGACGCUGAGGUGCGAAAGCGUGGGGAGCAAACAGGG
rnacentral:rRNA from 1 species